rnacentral:rRNA from 1 species
CGAGUGAAGCGGCAACAGCUCAAAUUUGAAAUCUGGCUCUUUCAGGGUCCGAGUUGUAAUUUGUAGAAGAUGUUUCGAGUGUGGCUCCGGUCUAAGUUCCUUGGAACAGGACGUCAUAGAGGGUGAGAAUCCCGUAUGUGACUGGUUGCCUUCGCUCAUGUGAAACUCUUUCGACGAGUCGAGUUGUUUGGGAAUGCAGCUCAAAAUGGGUGGUAAAUUUCAUCUAAAGCUAAAUAUUGGCCAGAGACCGAUAGCGCACAAGUAGAGUGAUCGAAAGAUGAAAAGCACUUUGGAAAGAGAGUUAAACAGUACGUGAAAUUGUUGAAAGGGAAGCGCUUGCAACCAGACUUGCGCGUAGUUGAUCAUCCGGGGUUCUCCCCGGUGCACUCGACUACGCUCAGGCCAGCAUCGGUUUGGGUGGUUGGAUAAAGGCCUUGGGAAUGUGGCUUCCUUCGGGGAGUGUUAUAGCCCUCGGUGCAAUGCAGCCUAUCCGGACCGAGGACCGCGCUUCGGCUAGGAUGCUGGCGUAAUGGUUGUAAGCGACCCGUCUUGA